GAUGAACGCUAGCUACAGGCUUAACACAUGCAAGUCGAGGGACCGGCGCACGGGUGAGUAACACGUAUCCAACCUGCCCUUUACUCGGGGAUAGCCUUUCGAAAGAAAGAUUAAUACCCGAUAUAAGGGAUGGGGAUCCGUUCCAUUAGGUUGUUGUUGAGGGAUCGGCUCACCAAGCCUUCGAUGGUGAGGGGUGCGGAGGGGAAGGUCACCAACAUGGGAACGACGACAAGGUCCAAAAUCCUACGGGAGGAAGCAGUGGGGAAUAUUGGUCAAUGAGCGGUAGCCUGAACCAGCCAAGUAGCGUGAAGGAGGAAGGAUUAUGGGUCGUAAACUUCUUUUAUAUAAGAAUAUGUAUUAUAUGAAUAAGGAUCGGCUAACUCCGUGCCAGCAGCCGCGGUAAUAC
rnacentral:rRNA from 1 species